ensembl:snoRNA SNORA71 Small nucleolar RNA SNORA71
CCCUGUAUCGAAAGUGCCGUCGGCGUGCUUGUCGCCCGCGUCAUAGAUAGUACAGGAAAAGGAAGUUGUGAGCCUUUCCCGUGUCUGCUGGACUGCCGGUUCCUGUCAGACCCUGGUGCUCACGGACA